rnacentral:misc_RNA from 1 species
AACGCACCUUGCGCUCCUUGGUAUUCCGAGGAGCAUGCCUGUUUGAGUGUCUUGAAGUCAUCAACCCCUCCCCGUUUUUGUGCGGAGAGGACGGUUGGAGCUGGGGGCCUGCGGCCGUGAGUCCGCUCCCCCAAAAUGCUUCGGUUGGGCCCUGUGGGUUCGAACUCGGUUGGGCGUUGUACCAUCCUCGCUCCGGUCCGACAAGUUCCCGCUCUUUUGUGCCCUCCCACGACCGCCUCUGGAGUGGUGGCCAGCAAACACUUUGAAAUCUGACCUCAAAUCAGGCAGGACUACCCGCUGAACUUAA